GUGGGGGGGUUGUCUGCUCUCAGGCCCCGCCUCCCCGGGGCCGGCUCGGGCCACUUCUUGCGCGCUGCCAGAAGGAGCUAUUUUGAGCAGUCCUUCUGACCCUCGUGGCUUCUCCUGCUCCAAGGCCAAGCUCGGGACCCUGUCAUCAUCCCCGGGGACAGGCCCCAUCUUAGAGAGGAUCCACCCAGCUCCCCGCUCCUGAGCCAUCUUCCAGCUAUCCCGCCUCGAGACUCCCACCGCACCUGCUCCUGGGCUGCAGCUGCACCCAACAAGUCAACAUGUGGAUUGCUUCUAGAAUUUGGAUAUUAUGAACACUGCUGUGCUGAACAUUCUUGUACACUUAUAUGGUUUGGCUGUGUCCCCACCCAAAUCUCAUCUUGAAUUGUAGCUCCCAUAAUUCCUAUGUGUCGUGGG
rnacentral:lncRNA from 1 species